rnacentral:rRNA from 1 species
UGGGGAAUUUUGGACAAUGGGGGCAACCCUGAUCCAGCCAUGCCGCGUGCGGGAAGAAGGCCUUCGGGUUGUAAACCGCUUUUGUUCGGGAAGAAAAGGCGCCUUCUAAUACAGGGCGUUCUUGACGGUACCGGGAGAAUAAGCACCGGCUAACUACGUGCCAGCAGCCGCGGUAAUACGUAGGGUGCGAGCGUUAAUCGGAAUUACUGGGCGUAAAGCGUGCGCAGGCGGUGAGUUAAGUCUGAUGUGAAAGCCCCGGGCUCAACCUGGGAAUGGCAUUGGAAACUGGCUCGCUGGAGUGUGGCAGAGGGGGGCGGAAUUCCGCGUGUAGCAGUGAAAUGCGUAGAGAUGCGGAGGAACACCGAUGGCGAAGGCAGCCCCCUGGGCCAACACUGACGCUCAGGCACGAAAGCGUGGGGAGCAAACAGG